CCUACGGGAGGCAGCAGUGAGGAAUAUUGGUCAAUGGACGAAAGUCUGAACCAGCCAAGUCGCGUGCAGGAUGACUGCCCUAUGGGUUGUAAACUUCUUUUAUACGAGAAUAAAACGAGGCACGUGUGCCUUUUUGCAUGUACUUUAUGAAUAAGGAUCGGCUAACUCCGUGCCAGCAGCCGCGGUAAUACGGAGGAUCCGAGCGUUAUCCGGAUUUAUUGGGUUUAAAGGGUGCGUAGGUGGGUGGUUAAGUCAGUGGUGAAAGUCUGCGGCUCAACCGCAAAAUUGCAAUUGAUACUGGCAGUCUAGAGAGUAGUUGCGGUAAGCGGAAUUCGUGGUGUAGCGGUGAAAUGCUUAGAUAUCAUGCAGAACCCCGAUUGCGAAGGCAGCUUACCAAGCU
rnacentral:rRNA from 1 species